rnacentral:lncRNA from 1 species
GGGGGGAUAAGUUAGGUGUUUGGGAUUAACAGACACAAAUUACUAUACAUUAAACAGAUAAGCAACAAAGAUUUACUGUAUAAGUCAGGGAACUAUAUUCAAUAUCAUGUAAUAACCUAUACUGUAAUGGAAAAUAAUCUGAAAAAAUAUAUAUUAUGUAUAACUGAAUCAUUUGCUGUACACCUGAAACUAACACAAUAUUGUAAAUCACCUAAACUUCAAUUUAAAAAAAAAGAAAAAAAGAUGCCAUAGCUUUGAACUGUGUCUGUGCUUUAUCUUGGUUUACUUCAUGCAUCCUUAGCAAGACGUGUCCUGAGGUAAUUGCUUUUUUGCUUUUUGCCAUUUCUGCUUAUGAAAUGUUUCCUAGAAGCACUCUACUUUCAGAUAGUGGGAGAAACCCGUAUAUUUAAAUCACUUCCCUAGUCUUUAUACAUCUACCAUAAGCUAAAGGAAUUAAGUUACAACGUUUAUUAAACAUUCACUGUGUACCUCAUACUGUGAUAAUCACUUUUAUGUCUACUAUCUUAAUCAUCUUAAGAUCCUUAUGAAGCAGCUGUUAUUAUUUUAUUUUACAGAUGAAAAAUCGAGAACUUGUUCAUUUCCAGCAGAUACAAAAGAGUCAUAAAUAUAAAAAACUGAUACAGGCACCUGAGGUCUUGUUUGUUUCCAACAAGCACAAAAGUCAUAAAUGUCAAAAAUAGAUAUAGUGCUGAGUGCCAGAAUGUACUUCAGUGGUUGAAAUAGAACUCUGAGUUGAAAAUAUGUUUACAUUCACAUUUUAUUUAAAUUUUUUUCAACUGAAAAGAGAGUCAUCUGGGACUAAUUUAGUUCUUCAAGACCUAAUGGUCUUGAUAAACCCAUUCAUCAAGUUGUUUUAUGGAAUAAUUCAGACAAGCGUGUUUGGCAAGGAGUAAUUAUCACACGGAGUACCAAAAACUGAUAAAGCCUGGCCUAUACAGACUAGACUAGACAUAGCACAGGAGAGCUGUUUUCCAGUUCGGUUGUAAACUCUUAUUCUGUGGAGUCAGAGACAACACAGCUAUGCUACACAGACCAUAGGAUGGACAUCCCAGCUUUGAGCUCUGAAUGUUUCCAAACAGUUCCAAAGAAAAUGAAACAGAUUUAACCUUCCUAUCUUGGGGUUCUAGAGGCAUUGUGACUUGCCUGCAAAGCCAAGUUACUAUGUGUUUGAGAGUCAUAUGGCUCAAUAGUUACUAAUGCCAUUUUUUCCCUGAAUUAUAAGAUACAGUGAAGAAACAAAAUUGGUUUUAGUUUGGCUCUUAAUAAAUCUCACAUCAUGUAGAAAUGAUAAAUUCAUCAAAGAUCCAUAGUUUCUAUUGAGGAUUUCCUUCCUUUUUUUUUUUCUUUUAAAUAAGAUUUCCUCUCCCCACACAACCACAAAACAAAUUUUCCAUUCCUUAUAUUUGUUGAAAGAGAAUUAAAUUCUCAAAUGGAUAUUUUGUUUU